UACGUAGGGGGCAAGCGUUGUCCGGAUUUAUUGGGCGUAAAGAGCGUGUAGGCGGCCUGACAGGUCUGCUGUGAAAACUCGAGGCUCAACCUCGAGAUGUCGGCGGAAACCGUCUGGCUAGAGUCCGGAAGAGGAGAGUGGAAUUCCUGGUGUAGCGGUGAAAUGCGCAGAUAUCAGGAAGAACACCUAUGGCGAAGGCAGCUCUCUGGGACGGUACUGAUGCUGAGACGCGAAAGCGUGGGGAGCGAACAGG
rnacentral:rRNA from 1 species